rnacentral:lncRNA from 1 species
AUUUUAUCCUCAAAAAUAUUUGCAAUGAUAGAAUUUUAUAUUCCAAACAUAAACUUUUAUUUCAAUAGAUUAAUGUAAGGGUAUUUUUAUCUUUUUAUAUCUUUACCAACCACUAUCCUUCUUAUCCUACCUACUCCAACAAAAGACUGUUUUUCUUAAUCCUGGACUAACUCCAAUUCUCAACCAAACACAAAAAUACUCUAACCCCACCUUAACCCUGAACUUAACCCUAACCCUGGAAUAACUAGUUUUUUCUUAACCCCGAACCAAACGGUAGCUUAGGGUUUUUCCUUUCGUUCUUCUUCGCUCCUU